UACGAAGGGGGCUAGCGUUGCUCGGAAUCACUGGGCGUAAAGGGUGCGUAGGCGGGGCUUUAAGGCAGGGGGGAAAUCCUGGAGCUCAACUCCAGAACUGCCUUUGAUACUGAAGAUCUUGAGUGCGGGAGAGGUGAGUGGAACUGCGAGUGUAGAGGUGAAAUUCGUAGAUAUUCGCAAGAACACCAGUGGCGAAGGCGACUCACUGGACAACUGUUGACGCUGAGGUGCGAAAGCGUGGGGAGCAAACAGG
rnacentral:rRNA from 1 species